rnacentral:rRNA from 1 species
UGGGGGAUAUUGCACAAUGGGGGAAACCCUGAUGCAGCGACGCCGCGUGAGGGAUGAAGGUCUUCGGAUCGUAAACCUCUGUUAGCAGGGAAGAAAGUUAUGCGUGCUAAUCAGCGCGUAAUUGACGGUACCUGCAAAGGAAGCACCGGCUAACUCCGUGCCAGCAGCCGCGGUAAUACGGAGGGUGCAAGCGUUAAUCGGAAUCACUGGGCGUAAAGCGCACGUAGGCUGUUAUGUAAGUCAGGGGUGAAAUCCCACCGCUUACCGGUGGAAUUGCCUUUGAUACUGUGUAACUUGAGUUCGUGAGAGGGUGGCGGAAUUCCAGGUGUAGGAGUGAAAUGCUUAGAUAUCACGAAGAACUCCGAUCGCGAAGGCAGCUUGCCGGACCGUAACUGACGCUGAUGCUCGAAAGUGCGGGUAUCAAACAGGAUUAGAUACCC